rnacentral:rRNA from 1 species
UACGUAGGUCCCGAGCGUUGUCCGGAUUUACUGGGUGUAAAGGGUGCGUAGGCGGCUCUGCAAGUCAGAAGUGAAAUCUAUGGGCUUAACCCAUAAACUGCUUUUGAAACUGUGGAGCUUGAGUGAAGUAGAGGUAGGCGGAAUUCCCGGUGUAGCGGUGAAAUGCGUAGAGAUCGGGAGGAACACCAGUGGCGAAGGCGGCCUACUGGGCUUUAACUGACGCUGAGGCACGAAAGCGUGGGUAGCAAACAGG